UACAGAGGGUGCGAGCGUUAAUCGGAAUUACUGGGCGUAAAGCGUGCGCAGGCGGCUUUGCAAGACAGAUGUGAAAUCCCCGGGCUUAACCUGGGAACUGCAUUUGUGACUGCAUGGCUGGAGUGCGGGCAGAGGGGAUGGAAUCCGCGUGUAGCAGUGAAAUGCGCAGAUAUCAGGAAGAACACCCGUGGCGAAAGCGGCUCUCUGGAACGGUACUGACGCUGAGACGCGAAAGCGUGGGGAGCGAACAGG
rnacentral:rRNA from 1 species